rnacentral:rRNA from 1 species
AUUGAACGCUGGCGGCAGGCCUAACACAUGCAAGUCGAGCGGAUGAGGGGAGCUUGCCCCUGGAUUCAGCGGCGGACGGGUGAGACGUGCCUAGGAAUUUGCCUGGUAGUGGGGGAAAACGUCCUGAUACGGGCGCUGAUCCCGCAUACGUCGUGUGGGCGGAAGUGGGGGAUCUUCGGACCUCACGCUUUCAGAGUGGCGUAGGUCGGAUUAGCUAGUUGGUGGGGUAGAGGCCUACCAAGGCGACGAUCCGUAACUGGUCUGAGAGGAUGAUCAGUCACACUGUAACUGAGACACGUCCCAGACUCCGACGGUGGGCCGCAGCGGGGAAUAUUGGGCAAUGGGGGAAAGCCUGAUCCUACCAUGCCGCGUGUGUGAAGAAGGUCUUCUGAUGGGAAAGCACUUAAAGUUGUAGGGAAGUGCAGUAAGUUAAUACCUGGCUAUAUUGACGGUACCAACAGAAUAAGCACCGGCUAACUUCGUG